AUGAUCAUUUCCAGGCUUUCUGAGGCAGCUGAAGCCUCAGGCAGGCAGAGUGGAGAAACUAAUAGCAAAGGAACUGUAGGGAGAUGGAGUAGGAAGAACUCAUUUGUCCAUGGCACUGCAGACAAAAAUGGAAUUCCACCAGGAGAGCUAAAAUCUGGAGUAUCUGCUGGAUUGAUGGAUGAUUUGAUGCACACCAGCUUGAGAGACAAACGUGAUAUGCAACAACACCUCCACACAGUGCAGUUUGUCUUGUCAGCCAAACCCUGAUCUCUCAUGACAAGAACUUUUUUUAGGGAGCAUCCAUUAUGGAUCAGGAAGACUGGCAUGGUCUGGGCCAGACUUGGCCUGAGUUAAUACUGACUCCCCACAGUUCUAGAUGAGGACUGUCUAGCCUAGUGAGGAAUAAUUGGUGAGACAAUACAAAACCUAGUGCUUUUUAAUAAUACCUGUUUUGUAAUUAGCUGGAGUGAUCUCUGCUUUGUGCUGUGAAGUGGGCACUUCUUUGUUUUAACACUAACCUUUUUUUACAUAGAUGGAAAUGAGAAAAGCCAGGACAUUUGAAGCUGAAACUGCUGCUGUGUUACCAGAUGAUGCUGUCCCUGUGCUCAUCUUGGUGGUUGGGCAGUUCAGCUCGAUUCUUGACAUUUUUAUCUUUCUAAUGGCAUUUGGAAAGCGGUGUUGAAGUUUUGUCUGUGUGUCUAUGCUUGUUUUCUUAUGGGGUGGGGAGUGUGGAGGUACUAGAUUGUCAGUGCUAGUGGUUCUGUGCCUGGCUUGAGGAACUGUAUCACAGCCCAGCUCUUGGCAUUCGUCUGAAAGUCGUAUCUUCUGUCUGGUGUGAAAAUACUCAGUCAGAGGGGGAAGAAAAGAGCAGCACUGACUUCCAAGAUGGGCAUUCUGGUAAAAAAAGCCAAAGUAUGUUGGAAGGGAGCAGGAGAGGGGAGCUAGUUUCUAAACAGAUCCCAAAAGCUGAUGGUGCUUGAAGACUGACUGUAUUGAAGUGAAAUGCCAUCUGCACUGACCCAAAAGCUUUGAGUGACUCCAGAGAGCUAUUGGCUGUGAAUUAAGAACAGCAGGCUGGCAAGGCUGGGCCUGCCCUUGUAAAUCUCUCUUCAUCUGUUCAUAACUGGGUGCUAAAACUCAAUUUUUACUAAAAUACACUAUGCAGAUCUCUGGCCAGACAGUGCAUCUUACUCCUUCCUGACAGCUUCUUAAACUUUCUUCAAGAUACCAGAGCAUGAGAAGGUAAGAGACCUGGGUAAGAGGCUGUUUCCAUUAUUUGAAUAAAAACUACAUAUGAUGGAGAGCA
rnacentral:lncRNA from 1 species